rnacentral:rRNA from 1 species
CGUACCUUUUGUAUAAUGGGUCAGCGACUUAUAUUCUGUAGCAAGGUUAACCGAAUAGGGGAGCCGAAGGGAAACCGAGUCUUAACUGGGCGUUAAGUUGCAGGGUAUAGACCCGAAACCCGGUGAUCUAGCCAUGGGCAGGUUGAAGGUUGGGUAACACUAACUGGAGGACCGAACCGACUAAUGUUGAAAAAUUAGCGGAUGACUUGUGGCUGGGGGUGAAAGGCCAAUCAAACCGGGAGAUAGCUGGUUCUCCCCGAAAGCUAUUUAGGUAGCGCCUCGUGAAUUCAUCUCCGGGGGUAGAGCACUGUUUCGGCAAGGGGGUCAUCCCGACUUACCAACCCGAUGCAAACUGCGAAUACCGGAGAAUGUUAUUACGGGAGACACACGGCGGGUGCUAACGUCCGUCGUGAAGAGGGAAACAACCCAGACCGCCAGCUAAGGUCCCAAAGUCAUGGUUAAGUGGGAAACGAUGUGGGAAGGCCCAGACAGCCAGGAUGUUGGCUUAGAAGCAGCCAUCAUUUAAAGAAAGCGUAAUAGCUCACUGGUCGAGUCGGCCUGCGCGGAAGAUGUAACGGGGCUAAACCAUGCACCGAAGCUGCGGCAGCGACGCUUAUGCGUUGUUGGGUAGGGGAGCGUUCUGUAAGCCUGUGAAGGUGUGCUGUGAGGUAUGCUGGAGGUAUCAGAAGUGCGAAUGCUGACAUAAGUAACGAUAAAGCGGGUGAAAAGCCCGCUCGCCGGAAGACCAAGGGUUCCUGUCCAACGUUAAUCGGGGCAGGGUGAGUCGACCCCUAAGGCGAGGCCGAAAGGCGUAGUCGAUGGGAAACAGGUUAAUAUUCCUGUACUUGGUGUUACUGCGAAGGGGGGACGGAGAAGGCUAUGUUGGCCGGGCGACGGUUGUCCCGGUUUAAGCGUGUAGGCUGGUUUUCCAGGCAAAUCCGGAAAAUCAAGGCCGAGGCGUGAUGACGAGGCACUACGGUGCUGAAGCAACAAAUGCCCUGCUUCCAGGAAAAGCCUCUAAGCAUCAGGUAACAUCAAAUCGUACCCCAAACCGACACAGGUGGUCAGGUAGAGAAUACCAAGGCGCUUGAGAGAACUCGGGUGAAGGAACUAGGCAAAAUGGUGCCGUAACUUCGGGAGAAGGCACGCUGAUACGUAGGUGAAGCGACUUGCUCGUGGAGCUGAAAUCAGUCGAAGAUACCAGCUGGCUGCAACUGUUUAUUAAAAACACAGCACUGUGCAAACACGAAAGUGGACGUAUACGGUGUGACGCCUGCCCGGUGCCGGAAGGUUAAUUGAUGGGGUUAGCGCAAGCGAAGCUCUUGAUCGAAGCCCCGGUAAACGGCGGCCGUAACUAUAACGGUCCUAAGGUAGCGAAAUUCCUUGUCGGGUAAGUUCCGACCUGCACGAAUGGCGUAAUGAUGGCCAGGCUGUCUCCACCCGAGACUCAGUGAAAUUGAACUCGCUGUGAAGAUGCAGUGUACCCGCGGCAAGACGGAAAGACCCCGUGAACCUUUACUAUAGCUUGACACUGAACAUUGAGCCUUGAUGUGUAGGAUAGGUGGGAGGCUUUGAAGUGUGGACGCCAGUCUGCAUGGAGCCGACCUUGAAAUACCACCCUUUAAUGUUUGAUGUUCUAACGUGGACCCGUGAUCCGGGUUGCGGACAGUGUCUGGUGGGUAGUUUGACUGGGGCGGUCUCCUCCUAAAGAGUAACGGAGGAGCACGAAGGUUGGCUAAUCCUGGUCGGACAUCAGGAGGUUAGUGCAAUGGCAUAAGCCAGCUUGACUGCGAGCGUGACGGCGCGAGCAGGUGCGAAAGCAGGUCAUAGUGAUCCGGUGGUUCUGAAUGGAAGGGCCAUCGCUCAACGGAUAAAAGGUACUCCGGGGAUAACAGGCUGAUACCGCCCAAGAGUUCAUAUCGACGGCGGUGUUUGGCACCUCGAUGUCGGCUCAUCACAUCCUGGGGCUGAAGUAGGUCCCAAGGGUAUGGCUGUUCGCCAUUUAAAGUGGUACGCGAGCUGGGUUUAGAACGUCGUGAGACAGUUCGGUCCCUAUCUGCCGUGGGCGCUGGAGAACUGAGGGGGGCUGCUCCUAGUACGAGAGGACCGGAGUGGACGCAUCACUGGUGUUCGGGUUGUCAUGCCAAUGGCACUGCCCGGUAGCUAAAUGCGGAAGAGAUAAGUGCUGAAAGCAUCUAAGCACGAAACUUGCCCCGAGAUGAGUUCUCCCUGACCCUUUAAGGGUCCUGAAGGAACGUUGAAGACGACGACGUUGAUAGGCCGGGUGUGUAAGCGCAGCGAUGCGUUGAGCUAACCGGUACUAAUGAACCGUGAGGCUUAACCUUACAACGCCGAAG